UAAUUAGGUCCAGAAUUAAGUGAAAACCCCAAAACUUUGCCAAGAAAAAGGUAGUGGGUGUCAUUGUGGAGGCCCUGGAAACAUGCUUUACUUGCAGGUUCUUUCUCAGUGACUUCUGCUUAGUUUUAUGUCACAUAUUUGCCAAACAUGAAGUAUAAUUCAAUAUGUACUGUCAUGGUACCCCCUGUUGGCCCCGCCUCCUCAUCAGGUUCACCUGAGGACUCCAGCUGCGCUUCAUCAUCUUCAUCAGCCGGGGGACUCUUAAGGAGAACCAGGACCCUUACUCGACGCUAGUUCGUUGUACUCCACGGAUCACGAUCACGCCUGUCACGUUCUGGACUCCGACUCACCUUCGCUCUGGUCCCUCCUCGUCGCCCCUCUGGACAUCCUUCUGGAAACACGGUGUACGCCGCCAAGACCCUCCAACCAUCCACAAAACAUCCUCUCUUGGAACCCUGUCAUUCCUCCAUUAAAUCCUUUACUGCUCGUC